UAUUAGAUUUUUUUUUACUAAGAGCUCGCUUGAUUGGCGUAAUUAUAAAUACGGUGCAGUUGAAGAUACAUAUAGUUAAAAAUAUAGUAAUUAUAAUUAUAUUUUUUUUAUUUGGUUGGAUACAGUAGAUAGCACUGUAGGUUGGUUAGAUACAGUAGAUAGCACUGUAGGUAUAAAAAUUUUAUUUGAUUACAUGCGAUUGAAAAAUACAUUUACGAAUUUUAUCAUUUUAUACAUGAGAUCGUAACAUUAUCCCUUAGGUAGGAAAGAGAAAGAAAAAAUAUCAAUUAAAAUGGUUAUUAGAGAGAAAACUUAUCUUUGUUUGGAAUUAUUCUUUCCAAAUGUUGCAGUUGAAACUACGAUUAAUUCUGACGUAGUUUUGACUACAUAAGCUGAAUUUAAAUACAUAAAAAAAAUAUCAAAUUUGAAUAU
rnacentral:lncRNA from 1 species